rnacentral:sRNA from 1 species
UGCAUCUGGGGCCUGCGAGGAUGAGAACCUCCGGGGGCAGGAGGUUCGACUCGAGCGAAGCGAGAGAACGUUGCGUCAGCAACGGC